UUCUCGUUAGUAUAGUGGUCAGUAUCCCCCGCCUGUCCCGGGGGAGGACCGGGGUUCAAUUCCCCGACGGGGGA
rnacentral:tRNA from 1 species